rnacentral:rRNA from 1 species
UACAGAGGGUGCGAGCGUUAAUCGGAAUUACUGGGCGUAAAGGGUGCGUAGGUGGUUAUUUAAGUCAGAUGUGAAAUCCCUAGGCUCAACCUAGGAAUUGCGUUUGAGACUGGAUAGCUAGAGUGCAGUAGAGGGAAGUGGAAUUUCCGGUGUAGCGGUGAAAUGCGUAGAUAUCGGAAGGAACAUCAGUGGCGAAGGCGACACACUGGCUCACUACUGACGCUGAGGCGCGAAAGCGUGGGGAGCAAACAGG